GUCACUAAAAGGAACCAGCCCCAGCUACUUCACUGCAGGCUGGUGCCCUGGUGAAGGUGAAUCAGUCAGAGGAGUGCUGACUGCCCAUGGGGCUGCACCAUAUCAUGGUUCCCACUAGCAAUAUAUGAGAGUUCCAGUUGCUCCACAACCUCGCCAACAUAUGACAGGUGCUUUUGUUAAAGAUCUUGCUGUUGAUUCCCGGGCAAGAUGGCUGAAUAGGAACAGCUCGGGUCUGUGGCUCCCUAAGAGAUCAACGCAGAAGGCGGGUGAUUUCUGCAUUUCCAACGGAGGUACCUGGCUCAUCUCAUUGGGACUGGUUAGACAGGGGGUGCAGCCCACAGAGGGCGAGUCGAAGCAGGGUGGGGUGUCACUUCACCCGGGAAGCGCAAGGGGUCAGGGAACUCCCUCCCCUAACCAAUGGAAGCCGUGAGGGACUAUGCCUUGAGGAACCGUGCAUUCCAGCCCAGAUGCUAUGCUUUUCCCACAGUCUUCACAACCCAGAGACUAGGAGGAGAUUCUCUUGGGUGUCUACACAACCAGGGCCCUGGGUUUCAAACACAAAGCUGGGUGGCCAUUUGGGCAGACACCGAGCUAGCUGCAGGAGUUUCUUUUCAUAUUCCAGUGGCGCCUGGAAUGCCAGUGAGAGAGAACCGUUCACUCCCCUGGAAAUGGGGCAGAAGCCAGGGAGCUGAGUGCUCUUGCUCAGCAGAUCCCACCUCCACAUGGCCCAGCAAGCUAAGAUCCCCUGGCUUGAAAUUCUUGCUGCCAGCACAUCAGUUUGAAGUCGACCUAGGAGGCUUGAGCUUGGUGUGGGAAGGGGUGCCCGCCAUUACUGAGGCUUGAGUAGGUGGUUUUCCCCUCACAGUGUAAACAAAGCCCCUGGGAAGUUCGGACUGGUUGGAACCCACCACAGUGACUCAAAGCUGCUGUAGCCAGACUGCCUCCCUAGAUUCCUCUUCUCUAGGCAGGGCAUCUCUGAAAAAAAAGGCAGCAGCCCCAGUCAGAGGCUUAUAGAUAAAACUCCCAUCUCCCUGGGACAGAACACCUGUGGGAAGGGGCGACUGUGGGCGCAGCUUCAGCAGACUUAAAUGUUCCUCCUUGCUGGCUCUGAAGAGAGCAGCAGACCUCCCAGCACAGAGCUCCAGCUCUGUUAAGGGACACACUGCCUCCUCAAGUGGGUCCCUGACCUCUGUGCCUCCUGACAGGAGACACCUCCCAGCAGAGGUCGACAGACACCUCAUACAGGAGAGCUCAGGCUGGCAUCUGGCAGGUGCCCCUCUGGGACGAAGCUUACAGAGGAAGGAGAAGGCAGUAAUCUUUGCUGUUCUGCAGCCUCCGCUGGUAAUACGCAGGCAAACAGGGUCCGGAGUGGACCUCCAGCAAACUCCAGCAGAUCUGCAGAAGAGGGGCCUGUUAGAAAGAAAACUAAUGAACAGGAAGCAAUAGCAUCAACAUCAUAAAAAAAACCAACCACUCAAAAACCCCAUCCAAAGGUCACCAACAUCAAAGACCAAAGGUAGACAAAUCCACGAAGAUGAAGAAAAACCAACACAAAGAGGCUGAAAAUUCCAAAAACCAGAAUGCUGCUUCUCCUCCAAAAGAUCACAACUCCUCACCAGGAAGGGAACAAAACUGGAUGGAGAAUGAGUUUGAUGAAUUGACAGAAGUAGGCUUCUGAAGGUGGGUAAUAACAAGCUCUUCCUGAGCUAAAGGAGCAUAUUCUAACCCAAUACAAGGAAGCUAAGAACCUUGAAUAAAGGUUAGAUGAAUUGCUAACUAGAAUAACUAGUUUAGAGAAGAACAUAAAUGACCUGAUGGAGCUGAAAAACACAGCAAAAGAACUUCGUGAAGCACACACAAGUAUCAAGAGCUGAAUCAAUCAAGCAGAAGAAAGGAUAUCAGAGAUUGAAGAUCAACUUAAUGAAAUAAAGUGUGAAGACAAGACUAGAGAAAAAAGAAUGAAAAGAAAUGAACAAAGCCUUAAAAAAUAUGGGUCUGUGUGAAGAGACCAAAUCUAUGUCUGAUUGGUGUACCUGAAAACGACGGGGAGAAAGGAAACAAGUUGGGAAACACACUUCAGGAUGUUAUCAAGAGAACUUUCCCAACCUAGCAAGACAAGCCAACAUUCAAAUUCAGGAAAUACAGAGAACACCACAAAGAGAGCAACCCCAAGACACAUAAUCAUCCGAUUCACCAAGGUUGAAAUGAAGGAAAAAAUAUUAAGGGCAGCCAGAGAGAAAGGUCAGGUUACCCGCAAAGGGAAGCCCAUCAGACUAACAGCAGAUCUCUCUGAAGAAACCCUACAAGCCAGAAGAGGGUGGGUGCCAACAUUCAACAUUCUUAAAGAAAAUAAUUUUCAACCCAGAAUUUCAUAUCCGGCCACAUUAAGCUUCAUAAGUGAAGGAGAAACAAAAUUCUUUAAAGACAAGCGAAUGCUGAGGGAUUUUGUCACCACCAGGCCUGCUCUACAAGAGCUCCUGAAGGAAGCACUAAAUAUGGAAAGGAAAAACCAGUACCAGCCACUGCAAAAACAUACAAAAAUGUAAAGACCAUCGACACUAUGAAAAAACUGCAUCAACUGAUGGGUAAAAUAACCAGCUAGCAUUAUAAUGACAGGAUCAAAUUCAUACAUAACAAUAUUAACCUUAAAUGGAAACAGGCAAAAUGCCCCAAUUAAAAGACAUAGACUGGCAAAUUGGAUAGAGCCAAGACCCAUCAGUGUGCCAUAUUUAGGAGACCCAUUUCACAUGCAAAGACACACAUAGGCUCAAAAUAAAGGAAUGGAGGAAGAUUUACCAAGCAAAUGGAAAGCAAAAAAAAAAAAAAAAAAAAAAAAAAAGCAGAGGUUGCAAUCCUAGUCUCUGAUAAAACACUUUAAACCAACAAAGAUCAAAAAAGUCAAAGAAGGGCAUUACAUAAUAGUAAAGGGAUCAAUGCAACAAGAAGAGCUAACUAUCCUGAAUAUAUAUGCACCCAAUACAGGAGCACCCAGAUUCAAAUUCAUCAAGGAAGUUUUUAGAGACCUAUGAAGAGACUUAGACUCCCACCCGAUAAUAGUGGGAGACUUUAACAUCCCACUGUCAAUAUUAGACAGAUUAACAAGACAGAAAAUUAACAAGGAUAUUCAGGACUUGAACUCAGCUCUGGACGAAGCAGACCUAAUAGACAUCUACAGAAUUCUCCACCCCAAAUCAACAGAAUAUACAUUCUUCUCAGCACCACAUAGCACUUAUUCUAAAAUUGACCACAUAAUUGGAAGUAAAAUACUCCUCAGCAAAUGCAAAAGAAUGGAAAUAAUAAGUCUCUUAGACCACGGUGCAAUCAAAUUAGAACUCAGGAUUAAGAAACACACUGAAAACUGCACAACUAUAGGGAAGCUGAACAAUCUGCUCCUGAAUGGCUACUGGGUAAAUGACGAAAUUAAGGCAGAAAUAAGUAAGUUCUUUGAAACCAAUGAGAACAAAACACAAUGUACCAGAAUCUCUGGGACACAUAUAAUGCAGUAUUUAGAGGGAAAUUUAUAGCACUAAAUUCCCACAGGAGAAAGCAGGAAAGAACUAAAAUCGACACCCUAACAUCACAAUUAAAAGAACUAGAGGAGCAAGAGCAAAUCAAUUCAAAAGCUAGCAGAAGACAAGAAAUAACUAAGAUCAGAUCAGAACUGAAGGAGAUACAGACACAAAAAACCCUUCAAAAGAUCAAUGAAUCCAGGAGUUGGUUUUUUGAAAAGAUUAGCAAUAUAGAUAGAUUGCUAGCCAGACUAAUAAAGAAGAAAAGAGAGAAGAAUCAAACAGACACAAUAAAAAAUGAUAAAGGGAUGUCACCACUGGUCCCACAGAAAUACAAACUACCAUCAGAGAAUACUAUGAACACCUCUACGCAAAUAAACUAGAAAAUCCAGAAGAAACAGACAAAUUCCUGGACACAUACACCCUCCCAAGACUAAACCAGGAAGAAGUUGAAUCUCUGAAUAGACCAAUAACACGUUCUGAAAUAGGUACACGCAUACCUAUGUGACAAAUCUGCACGUUCCACACAUGUAUCCCAGAACUUAAGUAUAAUAAUAAUAAAAAAGAAUACUUUUAAAUCAAUUUUGCUUCCACUUUUACCUUUUAAAAUAAUCUAGAUAGCCAUUUUUAAGUGCCAGGUAGGGUGGAAGUUGACUAAAUACGGACAGAGCUACAAAGUGAAAUUAAAGAACUAUGCUUUAUGAAUACCUGUCUUAAAGGGUAAUACAUCUUGAGUGUCCUUAUUUUUAUUUUAUUAUUCAGCUCCUAUCAUCAAUCGUGGUAGCUUCCUCCCCAGCACUGGUUAGCUAGAACUUUGAGAAGCUGAGAUUCCCUGAACUCAAUGGGGUCUUGACCUCAAUCUGUUGUCCAAACAGGUGCAAAUUUGCUGCAAAGCAUCAUUGUCUGCUCCAUGUUUUACUGUUCUGAGUUAUUUCAUUAAAUGCAUUUAUAAACUUGAAAAAAAAGAUUUUGCUGUUGAAAAUAGCCCUGAAGCAUAAUGCUCAAGUGCUGUCUAUUGUUUCUAUGCACCAGGAGGCUGUUGUGUUUCUUAUGUAGAAAAUACAUUUAUUAGAUAAGCUUCAUUCUGUUAUGAGUUGUAGUGCUGCUGGUCAUGAGUUCAUUGUGGAUGAAUUAACAAUAUCCACUAAAUAAGGUGUCUUUAAAUGGAAACACCCAUGAAACAAGGUUGUGUAUUGAUGAGCUAUCAAAAACGUUUUGAUUGGAGACUCACAGGAACUUAACUCUGUAUUUCCCCUAGGAGCAAUGAUUCAGUAUUCAUUAAUUCAGUGUUUGUGGUGACUUUAUAGAACAUAACUACCUUGAAUAAGGAGAAUCAACUCUAUUUAAAGUGUUUAGGAUAGCUUCUGUCAUGUAGUUAAGAACUACUUGAUUAUUGGUUAUAGUGUCACCCAAAAUAAUAAUAUUCUCUAAACUAGAAUAAUAUUAAAAUCAUAGAAUAUUCUGCAAAGUAAAUAUGAACUGAGCCUAUAUUUCAUGCUAUUUCAUUUAUGUCCCUGUCAAAGUAAACAAGUAAACACAAAAACAACCAUACACACGGCUGGUUUCAUAGCCAGACAGCCAAGAGCCAAAGGAUUCAACCCAACUCAAUGCCCUCAAGGGUCAUAGCUAGAUCAAAAUAAGAGCCAUUGAUGACAAACCCAUGGCCAACAUCACACUAAACAGGCAGAGGCUGGAAGCAUCCCUCUUGAGAGCUGGAACUAGACAAGGAUGCCUACUUUCACCACUCCUAUUCAACAUAGCUCUGGAAGUCCUAGCCAGAACAAUCAGGCAAGAGAAAGAAAUAAAAAGCAUCUAAAUAGGGUGAGAGGAAGUCAAACUAUUUCUGUUUGUAGGCAAUAUGAUAUUAUACCUAGAAAACCCCAGAGUCUUUGCCCAAAAUCUCCUAGCUGAUAAACAACUUCAGCAAUGUUUCAGGAUACAAAAUCAAUGUACAAAAAUCAGUAGCAUUCAUAUACACCAACAAUAUCCAAGCUGAGAGCCAAAUCAGGAACGCAAUACUGUUCACAAUAUCCACCUGACUCCCUGCCCCUAAAAAAACCAGUGCAGGAAUACUGCUAACCAGGGAGGUGAUAGAUCUCUACACUGCUGAAAGAUACCACCGAUGGCCAGGACCAGUGGCUCACCCCUGUAAUCUCAUCACUUUGGGAGGCUGAGGCGGGUGGAUCACCUGAGAUUAGGAGUUUGAGACCAGCCUGGCCAAAAUGGUGAAACCCCAUCUCUACUAAAAAAUACAAAAAAAUUAGCCAGGUGUAGUGGUGCAUGCCUCUAGUCUUAGCUACUUGAGUGGGUGAGGCUGGAGAAUCACUUGAACCCAGGAGGUGGAGGUUGCAGUGAGCCAAGAUCAUGCCAUCGCACUCCAGCCUGGGCAACAAGAGUGAAACUCUGUUUCAAAAACAAAACAAAACAAAUCAAAACAAAAAACAAAGAUACCAGAGAUGAUACAAACAAAUGGAAAAAUGCUUCAUGCUCAUGGAUAGGAAGAAUCAAUAAUGCUAAAAUGGCCAUACUGCCCAAAGCAACUUACAGAUUCAAUGCUAUUCCUAUCAAACUACCAAUGACUUUUUUACAGAAUUAGGAAAAAGUAUUCUAAAAUUCACAUGGAACCAAAAAACAGCCUGACUAGCCUAAGCAUCCUAAGCAAAAAGAAUAAAGCUGGAGGCAUUACACUACUCAACUUCAAACUAUACUAUAAGGCUACAGUAACCCAAACAGCAUGGUACUGGUACAAAAACAGACACAUAGACCAAUGGAACAGGUUACAGAACCCAGAAAUAGAGCCGCACACCUACAACUAUCUGAUCUUUGACAAAGUUGACAAAAACAAGCAAUGAGGGAAGGACCCCUUAUUCAAUGAAUGGUGCUGGGGUAACUGGCUAGCCAUACACAGAAGAUUGAAACUGGAGACUGCUGCCUUUCACCAUACUCAAAAAUCAACUGAAGAUGGAUUGAAGAUUUAAAUGUGAAACCUAAAACUAUAAAAAUCCUGGAAGAAAACCUAGGAAAUACCAUUCUGGAUAUAGGCCAUGGCAAAGAUUGGAUGAUGAAGACUCCAAAAGCAACUGCAACAAAAAUGAAAAUUGACAAAUAGAACCUAAUGAAACUAAAGAGCUUCUGCACAGCAAAAUAAACUAUCAACAGAGUAAAGAAUCAACCUACAGAAUGCAAGAAAACAUUCACAAACUAUGCGUUCAUCAAAGGUCUAAUAUCCAGGAACUAUAUGGAACUUAAACAAAUUAACAAGCAAAAGACAAACAAUCCCAUUAAAAGGUGGGCAAAGGACAUGAACAGACACUUCUCAAAAGAAGACAUACAUGUGGCCAACAAGCAUAUGAAAAAAUGUUCAACAUCACUAAUCAUUAGAGCAAUGCAAAUCAAAACCACAAUGAGAUACCAUCUCACACAGCUCAAAAAGGCUAUUCUUAAAAAGUCAAAAAGUGACAGAUACUGGUGAGGUUGUGGAGAAAAGGGAAUGCUUAUACAGUGCUGGUGGGAAAGUAAAUUAGUUCAGCCAUGUGGAAAGCAGUUUGGUGAUUUCUCAAAGAACUUAAAACCAGAAGUACCAUUUGAUCUAGCAAUCCAAUUACUGGGUAUAUACCCAAAGGAAUAUAAAUUGUUCUACCACAAAGACACAUGCACAUAUAUGUUCAUUGUAGCACUAUUCACAAUGGCAAAGACAUGGAAUCUACCUAAAUGUCCAUCAGUGGUGGACUGGAUAAAAAAAUGUGCAUGUGGCUGGGUGCGGUAGCUCACGCCUGUAAUCCCAGCACUUUGGGAGGCCAAGGUGGUUGGAUCACCUGAGGUCAGGAGUUUGAGACCAGCCUGACCAACAUAGAGAAACCCUGUCUCUACUAAAAAUACAAAAUUAGCCGGGCGUGUUGGUGCAUGCCUGUAAUCCCAGCUACUUGGGAGGCUGAGGCAGGAGAAUCACUUGAACCCAGGAGGGAGAGAUUGUGGUGAGCCGAGAUCACACCAUUGUACUCUAGCCUGGGCAACAAGAGUGAAACUCUGUCUCCAAAAAAAAAAAAGAAAAGAAAAGAAAAGAAAAGAAAAUGCGCGUGUACAUUGCACCAUGACAUACUAUACAACCAUAACAAUAAAAUGUCCUUAGUAGCAACAUGCAUGGAACCAGAGAUCAUUAUCCUUAGCAAAUUAACACAGCAAUAGAAAACCAAAUACCACAUGUUCUCACUUAUAAAUGGGAGCUAAACAUUGUGUACCCAUGGACACAAAGAAGACACCAUAGACACUAGGGCCUACUUGAGGGUAGAGUGUGGGAAGAGGGUGAGGAUCGGAAAACUACCUAUUGGGUGCUCUACUUAACCUGGGUGACAAAAUAAUCUGUAUACCAAAUCCCCACGACACGCAAUUCAUUCAUGUAACAAACCUGCACAUGUACCCCUGAACCUAAAAUAAAAGUUGGAAAGAAAGAAAAGCAAAUGAUCCCACCACUGCACUCUAGCCUGGGUGACACAGCGAGACUCUGUCUCAAAAAAAAAAAAAAAAAAAAAAAGAGAAAAGAAAAAGGAAAGUAAAUGACUUAAAAAAAGGGUCACUACUGCAAAGCCACAAGGCAAGAGAGAAACAAGAGACAGUAAACUUGAGAUGCUGCAGGAUCUUGAUUCCAGGCAUGACCACUUGUGAAGGAGCACAAGUGUUGUCUCUGCUAACAGGACCCCUUAGCUCAGGUCUGGUUUUUGUCCUCUGGUUCAGUAUUUCCCAGCCUUAGCCCAGAGCAGAGGAGCACUCAGGCCCCAGCAUCUACUGAAGGAGGGUGAGCUGUGCUGGCUCCAGCCUCAGCUGACAGCAACAUUUCUAGACACUCAUUAGCAUCCUCUCAAUCUCUUUCUUUUGCCCUGUGAUGCUGGAUAGGGGGAAUUAGACUGAAGCUUUGUUUGAAGUGCACCUUUACAGGAGAUGAAAAGGUUAGAAGGAAUUCCAAGCUGGGCUUUGGGGAAAAAGAGUGAAUGAUUCCACUACCUAGUCUCUUAGCUUUUCAUAUCACUGUGACACAACAGUUUCAAAUCUAUGUAUAGAACAGCCUAUUCAAAGCCAUUUAGAAUAUAGGAUAACAAUGCCAAAAUAAUUUCAAUGUAAGUCUUUGAUCUCCUCAUUAUAAUGCCAUUACCAUACCAUUAUUAGCUAAGAUUACAAUGACAAAUCAAUUUUAAUUGAAGUCUUUGGAGAUGCCAUUUAUAAUGCUAUUAUGUGAAUUUGCAAUGGAAAAGUUACUUGAGCAAGCUUGUUGAAACAGAGCUAUAAUGCCACUAUAAUGGAAAAUUUUGAUGGUGAAAUUAUUCCAAGUUCCUAGGGACUGGUGAUUAUCAUAUAAAACUACCAACCAUGAAAAUAUGCCCCCUCAAUAAUAAAUCAUGCGAUAGAUAGUAUCUACUGAUCAAAGAAUAUCUUUCUCAUAGAAUGAGUUCACAAAAAUCAUAGAAUCCUAAAGCUGACAAAUGGUCAUUUUAUAAAUGGAACACCAGACAUAAACCAGCCAUUCAGUGAGUAGCAGAGCCUGGACUCAACCUCAGUUCUUUGAGUCUUAGUCUUCAUGUCUUUGACUAUUAGAUCAGACUUCACCACCUAUGUUUUCUCUAAUUUCUUUAAAGAGCAGGACUCUGGCCAGGUAUGGUGGCUUCCACUUGUAACCCCAGUGCUUCGGGAGGUCCAGGUGGAAGGGUCACUUGAGGCCAGGAGUUUGAGACCAGCCUGGGCAACAUAGUGAGACCUGGUCUCUACAAAAAUUUUAAAAAAUUAUCAGGGCAUGGUGGUGUACACCUGUAGUCCUAGCUAUUCAGGAGGCAGAGGCGGGAAGAUUGCUUGAGCCCAGGAAGUUGAGGCUAUAGUGAGCUAUGAUAGCACCACUGCAUGCUAGCCUGGGACACAGAGUGAGAGCCUGUCCCUUAAAGAAGAGAGAGAGAGAGAGAAAGAGAGAGAGACAGAGAGAGGGAGAGAGAGAGACAGAACAGGACUUCAGGAAAAAAGUAAGGUUAGCAUUAGACUAGAACCACAGGAAAAUUUCUAGAUCAUGGAGAUAUCGUAAGAUACUCAUUUUGUCCUAGAAGAUAUCCUAGAAGAAUUUUCAGUAUCAGUGAUUUCAUGACUCCUAAUGUUGGGAAGUUGGCCACAUGGAAGUUGGAGCUUUAUUCUGGCUUUAUGGUUUCCGAUGAGAGAAUGUUUCUUUCCUGAAAGAGAAAUUUAAACUCGUCUGUCUUUGAGUAGAUAGAGAGGAAAAAUGAUCGUAUUGCACCAAGGAGUUAGUUGCUUAAUUCAGGCAACUAACGUAUUGGUAAAAAUAAAAAAUCAGUUAGAACUGGUUGUUUGGCUGAAGAGAGUGUUUAAUUCAAUCACCCUGGGAAGCCAUUGCCUCAAAUUAGCUCACUAGAGUGUCUUUCAUCCCCAGAGCAAGUCUUGUGUUGACUCACCUUCUUUAUCUUAAUUUGUUCAAAACACAGCCAGCCUCCUCUUACUUGAAAAAGCUUCUCUGUUCCCCUGUCACACCAUCCCACUUCUUUCAUUUUUCCCCUUCUAUUCUGGCCCACCCUUUAGUGGAGUGUGUAGGGAAAUGUGUUCUUUCCAGAUGUCGAUUUUCCUCCUUGGACGAUUCUAUUGUGGGCCAGACUUCCUGGUUCAUUUGCUCUCAACUUGUUCAUUUCUUAACAAUGGCGGGCAGCUAAUGUUUUUAGAAAGUUGCUAUGUGCCAGGUACAGUGCUAAUGAUUUGAUUUAGCAAAUCUUGCCGUAAUUAUUAUAACCUAUCAACCUGGAGCUGAGUGAAGCUGUUUAUCCAAGGUCUUGUGUGCAACUGGGAUAUGGACCUUGAUUUGUUGGGUCCCAGAGCCUAAACUCUUAAUCACUCUGUCCCAGGCAGCUUAACUUACAACAGUGGCUGAGCACACAGAUUCUGUAGCCAAGCAAAUGUGUUCACAUCUUGGCUUUGCCACUUACUAGCUGUAUUACACUGGGCGAAUUACUUAACUUCCAGGUACCUCAGUUUCCUCAUCUGUAGAACUGAAUAAUAACUUAGUUUAGUGUGUUAUUUAAAAUUAUCAGCUAAGGCCAGGCACAGUGGCUCACGCCUGCAAUUCCAGCACUUUGGAAGGCCGAGGCAGGUGGAUCACCUGAGGUCAGGAGUUCGAGACCAGCCUGGCCAACAUGGUGAAACCCUGUCUCUACUAAAAAUAUAAAAAAUUCGCCAGGCAUGGUGGUGGGCGCCUGUAAUCCCAGCUACUCGAAGGGCUGAGGCAGGAGAAUCACUGGAAUCCAGGAGGCAGAGGUUGCAGUGAGCCGAGAUCACACCAUUUCGCUCCAGCCUGGGCAACAAGAGAGAAACUUCGUCUCAAAAAAUAAAUAAUAAAUAAAUAAAUAAAUAAAUAAAUAAAUAAAUAAAUAAAUAAAAUAAUUGGCUGAGCAUGGUGGAUCACUCCUGUAAUCCCAGGCUGAUGUGGGAGGAUUGCUCGAGGCCAAGAGUUCAAGACCUGCCUGGGCAACAUAGCAAGACCUCAUCUCUAAAAAAAAAAAAAAUAGCUGGGUGUGGUGACAGACUCUUGUAGUCCUAGCUACUUGGGAGGCUAAGAUGGGAAGAUUUCUAGAGCCCAGGAGUCUGAAGCUGCAGUAAGCCGUGAUUGUGCCACACUGCACUCCAGCCUGGGUGACAGUGAGACCUUGUCUCAAAAAAUAAAAUAAAAUAAUGUGCCGAAUACUUGGAAUAGUGUGCAAUGCACAGAUGUAGUCUGUAAAUGACACUUUUUGCUGCUUCCUUUUUCAAGUAUGUGACCAGUUUCACAAGGUCCUGUGAAUUCUGGGAUAAGAAUGAGAGGGGAGAUACAGUAAAUUGGUGAUUCACCUGAAUGCAGUAUCUCAUGCUAAGUGUGGAUGUACACAUUUGACUUGAGUGCACAGUUUAAGAGGGAAAGCUGGACCUUAUGGGAGGCUACUAGCAGCUUCUGGCAUGCAAAUGCCAAUUUUAAAGGGGCAGGAUUAGCGAGGAUGAAAUCUGUGACCAUCCUGAAGUGAAAUGAAAGUCAAUUUCAUAAGGUCAAGGCUAAAAUGUUAGUGUGCAUUACACAGCUAUGGGAAAAGUAGUGUAACUAAUUAUCUUUGGAGGGGUGGCAGUCAGUUAAGCUUUAGACAAUCUCAAUACAAUUCCUUAGACCCAUGUUCAGGAGGCCACUGGCUGAACAAUGGCUCAGGAAUGUCAGAAAUCUGAGUUCUCAUUCUGGCUCGGCUACUGAUCUGUUUUGUGACCAUAGUCCCUUAAUCCGCCCAUGCCUCUGUUUCCCUGCCUGCCAAAUGCCAGCCAUCUCCCUGGGUGAUUUUGAGGGAUAACCAAUAAGAAGGAUUAGGGACAAGAACCACCAUCCAAAUUGUUAAUAAAAGUGGUAUUUUGUACUCAAUUAUUUGCAUCUAAACCCUUUAUAGUCUGUGUUUGGCAUCGUCCAACCUCCAUCUUUCUUAUUCUUGUACUUUGCUUCCCCUCCCUCAUGGAGAAGCAAAAACGUGAUAUAUAUGGUACAGUAUCUUGCAGUGAUACUACAAUCUGCAUGAAGGCGAAUAGGUCAUGCUGCAACAUUUCAAGCAGUUGCUGUCCAAGGGAAUAAUUCACCUAAGGGAUGCCCCCAUUCCAGCAAACAAAGAAGCCAUAGAGAAAAAAAAAUGCUAUAGCAGCUCUGGGUCUCGAUGCAACUGGGUGUUGCUGUCUGUGUUAUGCUGCCCAGUGCCUGAGCAAAGGUAAUGGGAGGAUUCUGAAUGUGGAGAAAAAUAAUAAAAUUGCCAGUGUGCUGGAAAUUAAAGUUAAUUCCGUGAGCAUAGAUAAUGAACACAACAUUGAUUGAAAUAAAUGAUGUACUUUGCUUUAGAAAUGUUAUUUGAAUAACUGAUAUUGUACUUUGUCGGGCCAUGGUUUCAAAUGCAUUCGAUUAUACAUUUUAAUGUUUCUCCCCAAACAGUCUUUCAAAUCAGUAUAAAUUGCUGUCUGUAGCAGGCAUGUCUUGAUCUUUAGCUGCCAUGACAACAGGAUACAGGGAAAUGCAUUUUCAUAACAAUUGCUAGCAGUGUUUAGUAUCACUGUUACUUUGUGUCAGGGAACAGCUGGCUUUGGGAGGAAAACAGCAUUGUUUGCUUUACUUGAAAGCUUU
rnacentral:lncRNA from 1 species